UGAUGGCCCUAAGCUUGUUCGAGAAUUAUUCAGAGUUGCAGAAGAACAUGCUCCUUCCAUUGUCUUUAUUGAUGAAAUAGAUGCAGUAGGAACAAAACGGUAUGAUUCAAAUUCUGGAGGUGAGAGGGAGAUUCAAAGAACCAUGUUGGAACUUUUGAAUCAACUAGAUGGCUUUGAUUCCAGAGGAGAUGUAAAGGUUUGUGGUUAUGGCAACAAACAGAAUUGAAACCCUUGACCCUGCUCUGAUCCGUCCAGGAAGAAUUGAUCGGAAGAUUGAAUUCCCUCUUCCUGAUGAGAAGACAAAGAGGAGGAUCUUCACCAUCCAUACAAACCGCAUGACAUUAGCGGAGGAUGUCAAUAUUGAUGACUACGUUAUGGCAAAAGAUGACCUGUCUGGUGCUGACAUCAAGGCCAUAUGUACAGAGGCAGGACUUCUAGCUCUUAGAGAACGAAGAAUGAAAGUGACAAAUGAGGAUUUUAAAUCCGCCAAAGAAAAUGUGUUGUACAGAAAGAAUGAGGGAACUCCUGAAGGACUCUACUUGUAAAAACUUUCCACAUAAAUGUUGAUUUUCAGAUGCUGAACAGAGAAUAUAGAUAACUCUGUACAAGUACCUGUAUUGUGUUAUUAAAAUAUAUGUCUGAUC
rnacentral:misc_RNA from 1 species